rnacentral:lncRNA from 1 species
AUGGAAAUGAAAGGUCGUUUUUUUAUUUUUUUUAGGCCAAACAACCUUGCAGAAGCAGACAGAGGUCUGUCUGGAAAUAAUGAAAUGUUAGAUCUGGUGGCAGUAAAUGAACAAUCUUUUCCAAACUUCACUCCAAGACGAUCUGACCAUGUGCAUCUAACUCAUAUAUAUCCUAGUGUGAACAACUACCUCACUCAAGAAAUAGUGGAUCUGGUGGCAGUAGAAGAACAAUCCUUUCCAAACUUCACUCCAAGACCUUCUCACCAUGUGCAUCUACCUCAUAUACAUCCUACUGUGACCAACUAUCUCACUCAAGGUCAAGGGCAUGGCUCACUACAACAAGAUAUGGAGCCCUCAGGACUGAUCGAGCGUUGGUAUGAAGAAUCGAACACGGUGGACGAUGACAAACAGGAUCGGGAGGAAUACUGA